CACGUAGGCGGUCUGUCAGGUCAGAGGUGAAAUCCCCCGGCUUAACCGGGGAACGGCCUUUGAAACCGGCAGACUGGAGUGGAAGAGGGGAGAGUGGAACUGGCAGUGGAGCGGUGAAAUGCGUAGAUAUUGCCAGGAACGCCGGUGGCGAAAGCGACUCUCUGGCUUCUAACUGACGCUGAGGUGCGAAAGCCAGGGGAGCAAACAGGAUUAGAUACCCUGGUAGUCC
rnacentral:rRNA from 1 species